rnacentral:rRNA from 1 species
UACGGAGGGUGCAAGCGUUAAUCGGAAUUACUGGGCGUAAAGCGUGCGCAGGCGGUUUGUUAAGUCCGUUGUGAAAGCCCCGAGCUCAACUUGGGAAUUGCAGUGGAUACUGGCAGGCUGGAGUACGGUAGAGGAAGGUGGAAUUCCCGGUGUAGCAGUGAAAUGCGUAGAUAUCGGGAGGAACACCAGUGGCGAAGGCGGCCUUCUGGACCAGUACUGACGCUGAGAAGCGAAAGCAUGGGGAGCAAACAGG